rnacentral:rRNA from 1 species
CCUACGGGGGGCAGCAGUGGGGAAUAUUGCGCAAUGGGCGAAAGCCUGAAGCAGCGAAGCCGCGUGAGGGAUGAAGGUCUUCGGAUCGGUAACCUCUGUUUGCAGGGAAGAACGGUCACUGUGCUAAUCAGCAGUGAAUUGACGGUACCUGCAAAGGAAGCACUGGCUAACUCCGUGCCAGCAGCUGCGGGAAUACGGAGGGUGCGAGCGUUAAUCGGAAUUACUGGGAGUAAAGCGCUCGUAGGCGGUAGGUCAAGUCAAGGGUGAAAUGCCCGCGCUCAACGUGGGAACUGCCGUUGAAACUGGCAAACUGGAGUGUGGGAGAGGAUAGUGGAAUUCGAGGUGUAGGGGUGAAAUGCGUAGAUAUCUGGAGGAACAUCAGUGGCGAAGGCAGCUAUCUGGCACAUAACUGACGCUGAGGAGCGAAAGCGUGGGUAGCAAACAGGAUUAGAUACCCCAGUAGUC